UGAUGCGAAACAGUAAAAGGUUGUCUCGUUUAUAUAGAUGGAUGUUUUGUCGGUUAAUUUUUGGGAGGUACAGAAGAAAGUACAAUCUUGAUAUUUUCGACGGCUUAGAUCUGUUUAAUGAUUGAGAUAGCUGAGGUGGCAAUCUGCGUCUUCGCUUUUGAUUGGUUUAAUUCUUGAAGGGAUCGAUGACGUGGAGUUUUUGUGUUUCUUGAAAUUUGAGGUAAUGUUAGUUUUGGAUCAUUCGUUGGUGAUUAGCGAUCAUUGGCCGAGCCGUGUUUCUUGACACAAGUUCCGGUUCGGUUUUGAAAUCGAUUAAAUUUUCCGUCAGCUCCGGUUCGGUUUUGAGAAAUCAUUCUGAUACUUCCGGUAAACUUAUAUUACUUCCACUCUUCUCCAGUGUUAAGAGAGGAGGUACUUUGAUUCUAGCAAAUUUACACGAGGUACGUCGUGAAGGUUUUAUCUACUGGGGAAGGGGAAGAUGAAGGCAAGUGUGUGUGUGUAAACCCUGGAAGACUUGCAAAAGGAGAAGAUGCAGGUACUUUUGUUGAGCUUACCUACAAGGGCGGUCCAGAAUCAAUGCAUGCUUCUAUCAUCUCUAUCUGUCUUGAAGUUGAACCUAAAUGGCGUCAAGUACUUGAUGAUACUGAAGCUACAAGUACUAAAGGUGUUAUAAAUAUUGCGUACAGAGACAUAUUCAGUAAUCUCUCCACGAGAAACAGCUUGGGCUAGCGGUCAGGAUGAUGGCAAUGGCGAACUUAAGAUCACAGUGGGAAUAUAUCUUAUGCCGAUCACAGUGCUUAUAUGUCUGUGUUUUUUACUUUCAAAAUUAUAUGACUUCGUGUAUAUGCUAUAUGCUCUUUUGAACCUUGCCUCAGUUUUGAAACCACUCUC